rnacentral:rRNA from 1 species
UUAAAUAAGAAAGGGCGUAUGGAGGAUGCCUAGGCAUUAGAAGAUGAAGAAGGACGUGACAAACGACGAAAUGCUUCGGGGAGAUGUAAGUAAUCUUUGAUCCGGAGAUAUCCGAAUGGGGGAACCCACUAGUGGUAAUGCGCUAGUAUCAUAUAAUGAAUAUAUAGUUAUAUAGAGAACAACUCAGUGAACUGAAACAUCUUAGUAACUGAAGGAAAAGAAAGAAAAAUCGAUUUUCUUAGUAGUGGCGAGCGAAAAGGAAAGAGCCCAAACCAGUCUAAGGACUGGGGUUGAAGGACCUCAAUAAACUUGAAGAUCAUAUAGUUGAAUUACUUGGGAAGGUAAACUAGAGAAGGUGAAAGUCCUGUAAGCGAAAUGUGAUUAAAAGUUAGAGGAAUCCUGAGUACGGCGAGGCACGUGGAACCUUGUCGGAAUCAGCGGGGACCAUCCCGCAAGGCUAAAUACUCUCUAAUGACCGAUAGUGAACAAGUACCGUGAGGGAAAGGUGAAAAGAACCCCGGGAGGGGAGUGAAAUAGAAACUGAAACCAUAUGCUUACAAAAAGUUCGAGCCCGUUAAAGGGUGAGAGCGUGCCUUUUGCAGAAUGAACCGGCGAGUUAUUGUAUAAUGCGAGGUUAAGUAGGAGAUACGGAGCCGAAGGGAAACCGAGUUUUAAUAGAGCGAUAUAGUAUUAUGCAAUAGACCCGAAACCGAGUGAUCUAGUCUUGAGCAGGUUGAAGUAAUAGUAAAAUAUUAUGGAGGACCGAACCGAUAUGCCCGGAAACGCGUACGGAUGACUUGAGAUUAGCGGAGAAAUUCCAAUCGAACUCGGAUAUAGCUGGUUCUCCCCGAAAUAGGUUUAGGCCUAGCCUUGAUUUUAUAUAUGUGGAGGUAGAGCACUGAAUGUGCGAUGGCGCCAUCUAGGUGUACUGAGUACAAACAAACUCCGAAUGCCACAUAAGAUUAAUCAGGAGUCAGUGCAUGGGUGAUAACGUCCAUGCGCGAAAGGAAAAGAAUCCAGAUCGCCAGUUAAGGUCCCAAAAUUGUGUUAAGUGGAAAAGGAUGUGGAGUUGUAAAAACAGCUAGGAGGUUGGCUUAGAAGCAGCCAUCCUUUAAAGAGUGCGUAAUAGCUCACUAGUCGAGUGAAACUGCGCCGAAGAUGUACCGGGGCUAAACACAAUACCGAAACUGCGGACUUAUACGUAAGUAUGAGUGAUAGGGGAGCGUUGUAAUUGCGAAGAAGGUAUACCGUGAGGAGUGCUGGAGCGAUUAGAAGUGAGAAUGCCGGUGUGAGUAACGAAAAAUGGGUGGAAAUCCCAUUCACCGAUUGACUAAGGGUUCCUGGGUAAAGUUCGUCUUCCCAGGGUAAGUCAGGACCUAAGAUGAGGCCUAAAGGCGUAGUCGAUGGACAAUAGGUAUAUAAUCCUAUACCACCUAUAUAACUGAAGGAGUGACGAAGGAGGCUAGCUAAAGCCAAUUAAUGGAUUUUGGUCUAAGCACAAAGGCUUGUACGGAGUAAAAUGCACGAUACAAAAGAGCUAAAGUGUGAUGGGGAAGUGAUACUUUCGGGUAGAGCGAAGUUAAGUGACGCCAAACUUCCAAGAAAAGCUUCUAGGGCUAAUUAUAUAGGUGCCUGUACCGAUAACCGACACAGGUGGUCAAGGAGAGAAUCCUAAGGUGAGCGAGAGAACUAUGGUUAAGGAACUCGGCAAAAUGACCCCGUAACUUCGGGAGAAGGGGUGGUCAAGAAGAUAAUGCAGUAAUGUAUGAAAAUAAAUUGACCCGCAGUGAAUAGGUCCAGGCAACUGUUUACCAAAAACACAGGUUUCUGCAAACACGAAAGUGGAAGUAUAGGAGCUGACGCCUGCCCAGUGCUGGAAGGUUAAAGGGAAGUGUCCGUAGCAAUACAAAGCACCGAACUGAAGCCCCAGUGAACGGCGGCCGUAACUAUAACGGUCCUAAGGUAGCGAAAUUCCUUGUCAGGUAAGUUCUGACCCGCACGAAAGGCGUAAUGAUCUGGAUACUGUCUCAACCAUAGACUCGGUGAAAUCUUAAUACCUGUGAAAAUGCAGGUUACCCGCGUCAGGACGGAAAGACCCCGUGGAGCUUUACUGUAGCUUGAUAUUGGAAUUAGAUUGGUUAUGUAGAGGAUAGGUGGUAGACUAUGAAGUAUAGACGCAAGUCUGUAUGGAGUCGCCCUUGGAAUACCACCCUUGAUUAGUCCAAUUUCUAACCUAGUACCAUAAUCUGGUACAGGGACAGUGUCUGGUAGGCAGUUUGACUGGGGCGGUCGCCUCCUAAAGAGUAACGGAGG